CGGACUUAUCACGUUGUAACACCUGUUUUUGUAUGAUCACCGAAGAUAAGCAACGUCGAGCCUGGUCAGUACCUAGAUGGGUGACCUCUUGGGAAUGCGAGAUGCUGUAAG